GGCUUAACACAUGCAAGUCGAGGGCAGCGAGCGAGAUAGCAAUAUCUUGUGUCGGCGACCGGCGCACUGGUGAGUAACACGUAUGCAACCUGCCCUCUACAGGGGGAUAAUCCGGAGAAAUUCGGUCUAAUAUCCCAUAGUCCCUGAGUUUGCAUGAGCUUAGGGGGAAAGUUCCGGCGGUAGAGGAUGGGCAUGCGGCGCAUUAGCUGGUUGGCGGGGUAACGGCCCACCAAGGCGACGAUGCGUAGGGGUUCUGAGAGGAAGGUCCCCCACACUGGUACUGAGACACGGACCAGACUCCUACGGGAGGCAGCAGUGAGGAAUAUUGGUCAAUGGGCGCGAGCCUGAACCAGCCAAGUCGCGUGAGGGACGACGGUCCUACGGAUUGUAAACCUCUUUAGGCGGGGAGUAAUGUGCUCUACGAGUAGAGUAGUGAGAGUACCCGCAGAAUAAGCA
rnacentral:rRNA from 1 species